rnacentral:rRNA from 1 species
UACAGAGGGUGCAAGCGUUGUUCGGAAUUACUGGGCGUAAAGCGCGUGUAGGCGGCUUGAUAAGUCAGACGUGAAAUCCCUCGGCUUAACCGGGGAACUGCGUCUGAUACUGGAUGGCUUGAGUUCGGGAGAGGGAUGCGGAAUUCCAGGUGUAGCGGUGAAAUGCGUAGAUAUCUGGAGGAACACCGGUGGCGAAGGCGGCAUCCUGGACCGAUACUGACGCUGAGGAGCGAAAGCCAGGGGAGCAAACGGG